rnacentral:rRNA from 1 species
AAAGAUGAAAAGAACAUUGAAAAAAGAGUCAAAGAGUGCUUGAAAACGUCGGGAAGGAAGCGGAUGCGGGUCGACGAUGCGUCCCGGUCGGAUGUGGAACGACAACGAGCAGAUCCGUCGAUCGACGCGGGGUGUGGACCAACACGAAUCGAGGCAACGGCCAAAGCCCGGGCAGUUGAUACAUCUACAGAACACCAUCGCCCUGAUUAUGGUGGACAACAUGAGCCCUCGGCAUGCCUCGACACCUGUACGCUCCCGGUGCUGGCCUGCGGACUCCCCAUUCGACCCGUCUUGAAACACGG